ensembl:lncRNA
GAUCAAGAGAUGUUCUGUAAUACUUCCUUUUAUCUCCUUCCCACAAGAGGCAGCUACAAAACUGCUAUUUGAAGUCAGUGAAAGAAUACGGUUGGUUGUGAUCGCAGCACUGUUAGCACAGAAUGGAUCUGUAACCCUCUGGCCUGGUGUACUGCUUGGCAAGGGAGAAAUUUUCUGCCCCUUCUCUUCAUAUAUGUCUUCCAGUGUAUUCAUCUACUUUUUCAGUGUUUUCUUUAUGCUGAGUGUCUCACUUUCUCCCUUUGUAGUUAGCUGUCAGAGAGAUGUAUUCCCCUGUAUGGGAACUGUUGAAUCACAGCCCGAACCUCUGAUUGCCCACCUGAGGCGAGCACUGAGUCAGCUGUGGGAGCACAGGUGAAGGCAAUUCAGCUGUGUGACCAGAAGGGGUGGAGCCAGGCUGCACAUCUCCUAGACCCCAUUUAAGGGCUGACUGCCCCAAUGAAGGAUCUCUUCCUGGAUAUCACUCUCCAUGGAGUUUUUGCAAGCCUACACCACUGUGGGAUGCAGAAGGAAAAGUGAUGCAGAAUGAAAACUUGAAGGAUUUCCAAGGAAAGAAAGAAUGACAGAGCCUGUAGAUGAAGACUUACCUACAUGUUAAUGAGUAAAAAUCUGACCAGCAGCUCUCUAUGCAGGACAGUGCCCGAGACCAAAGCACAGGUGUGCCAU